GACGAACGCUGGCGGCGUGCCUAAUACAUGCAAGUAGGACGCUGAAGAGAGGAGCUUGCUCUUCUUGGAUGAGUUGCGAACGGGUGAGUAACGCGUAGGUAACCUGCCUUGUAGCGGGGGAUAACUAUUGGAAACGAUAGCUAAUACCGCAUAACAAUGGAUGACACAUGUCAUUUAUUUGAAAGGGGCAAUUGCUCCACUACAAGACGGACCUGCGUUGUAUUAGCUAGUAGGUGAGGUAACGGCUCACCUAGGCGACGAUACAUAGCCGACCUGAGAGGGUGAUCGGCCACACUGGGACUGAGACACGGCCCAGACUCCUACGGGAGGCAGCAGUAGGGAAUCUUCGGCAAUGGGGGCAACCCUGACCGAGCAACGCCGCGUGAGUGAAGAAGGUUUUCGGAUCGUAAAGCUCUGUUGUAAGUCAAGAACGAGUGUGAGAGUGGAAAGUUCACACUGUGACGGUAGCUUACCAGAAAGGGACGGCUAACUACGUGCCAGCAGCCGCGGUAAUACGUAGGUCCCGAGCGUUGUCCGGAUUUAUUGGGCGUAAAGCGAGCGCAGGCGGUUUGAUAAGUCUGAAGUUAAAGGCUGUGGCUCAACCAUAGUUCGCUUUGGAAACUGUCAAACUUGAGUGCAGAAGGGGAGAGUGGAAUUCCAUGUGUAGCGGUGAAAUGCGUAGAUAUAUGGAGGAACACCGGUGGCGAAAGCGGCUCUCUGGUCUGUAACUGACGCUGAGGCUCGAAAGCGUGGGGAGCGAACAGG
rnacentral:rRNA from 1 species